CAUAAUUCCUACCUUAUCAUGCUCGACACCCGUAUCAUGUAACUUUCUCGUAUUUUAUUCUCCACUUUAUAAGCUUGGUCGCGAAUGCAAUUAUUGUUGCGGCCGCUGCGGUCGUGCACAUUGCGCCUAUUGCGAUGCAGAAUGCAAUUGUUGCACGCGUGAAAUUAUGUUUUUUAUUAGCACAAAAUAUUAUAAUAUUUAUUAAUCUUAUUACUCACAUAUCUCCUAUUUUAUCUUUAAGAUAGAAGAAACAUUUGUUUGAUCACUACAUAGUUUGUUGUAGUCAGAUGCAAUUUGAUGCAACUGUUGUACCUACUGUGUUGUGGCCGUUGUGACGUCACAAUGCGAUUUUUGUUGCAAAUUACGAUCACACCACAAUUGCGGUCUGAUCAUGCAGUGCCACAACCACAAUACUACGAACACAUCACAUGAUGUGGUCCACAAUUUGAAUCUUUAAUUCAUAUAUCUGGGAAUAAAUUCAUACGUUCUGCAGAGUUCAACU